AGAGUUUGAUCCUGGCUCAGAAUGAACGCUGGCGGCGUGCCUAACACAUGCAAGUCGCACGAGAAAGACUGUUUUCGGAUGGUCGAGUAAAGUGGCGCACGGGUGAGUAACGCGUAGGUAACCUGCCCCUGUAUUUGGGAUAACAGGACGAAAGUUCUGCUAAUACCGGAUACGACCUUGAGCCGGAGGGUUGAAGGUGAAAGUGGGCCUCUCGAAGAAGCUCAUGUACGGGGAUGGGCCUGCGUCCUAUCAGCUGGUUGGUGGGGUAACGGCCUACCAAGGCGACGACGGGUAGCUGGUCUGAGAGGAUGAUCAGCCACACUGGCACUGGAACACGGGCCAGACUCCUACGGGAGGCAGCAGUGAGGAAUUUUGCGCAAUGGCCGCAAGGCUGACGCAGCAACGCCGCGUGGGUGAAGAAGGCCUUCGGGUCGUAAAGCCCUGUCAGGUGGGAAGAAAAGAUCCGGCAAGAAACGGUCGGAUAUUGACGGUACCACCAGAGGAAGCACCGGCUAACUCCGUGCCAGCAGCCGCGGUAAUACGGAGGGUGCGAGCGUUAUUCGGAAUUACUGGGCGUAAAGCGCGUGCAGGCGGGCAAGCAAGUCUGAUGUGAAAGCCCCGGGCUUAACCUGGGAAGUGCAUUGGAAACGGUUUGUCUUGAGUACUGGAGAGGAAGGGGGAAUUCCCGGUGUAGAGGUGAAAUUCGUAGAGAUCGGGAGGAAUACCAGUGGCGAAGGCGCCCUUCUGGACGGUUACUGACGCUGAGACGCGAAAGCGUGGGGAGCAAACAGGAUUAGAUACCCUGGUAGUCCACGCUGUAAACGAUGAGCACUAGGUGUAGCGGGUACUCAUUCCUGCUGUGCCGUAGCUAACGCGUUAAGUGCUCCGCCUGGGGAUUACGGUCGCAAGACUAAAACUCAAAGGAAUUGACGG
rnacentral:rRNA from 1 species